AAAGAGAAAGUGUUGGAAUUCAAGGAUUUGAUCAAGCAAAGGUGGUGAGCAAAUUACACUGGUAAAAGUACAAAGAUUGUGCCUGAAGACUGGGGUUAGGAGUAUAUCGACUCGUAGAACUGUUUGGGAUAAUUUGUUGAUAGUUGAUUAAGAUGAG